GUCUACGGCCAUACUACCCUGAACGCGCCCGAUCUCGGAAGCUAAGCAGGGUCGGGCCUGGUUAGUACUUGGAUGGGGAGACAUUAUGGAGAGUAAUCU
rnacentral:rRNA from 1 species